UACGGGGGGGGCAAGCGUUGUUCGGAAUUACUGGGCGUAAAGGGCUCGUAGGUGGCCAACUAAGUCGGACGUGAAAUCCCUCGGCUUAACCGGGGAACUGCGUCCGAUACUGGUUGGCUUGAGUUUGGGAGAGGGAUGCGGAAUUCCAGGUGUAGCGGUGGAAUGCGCAGAUAUCAGGAGGAACACCGAUGGCGAAGGCAGUUCUCUGGGCCGUAACUGACGCUGAGGAGCGAAAGCGUGGGGAGCGAACAGG
rnacentral:rRNA from 1 species